rnacentral:lncRNA from 1 species
CUGGAAGAGGUGACACGCACCCAUUUGGUUACAUUUUUUGUGUUUCUUCUGCACAUAACGCAUUCCACUGUCUGUGCUUGUCGUGGUGUGUUUACAUUCCCAAAGCCCCACUGGAAAAUGCAUUUCGUGGGUAGAGGACAUCUCCCUAUCUCUUCCGUACCUGUGAAUGUACAGGGUAGGGGAUGAGAAAGACCGACAGAGAAAGGAAGAGUGAAAAAGAGAGGCUGAAAUAGACGAUGGACGAGGUGUGGAUGUGGAGAUACAGUCAGAACAAAAGAGACUGUCUUCUCAAGACCAGUCUUUGCCUGAGGAAGAAACCUAGAAGAGGAGGAAGAAGAAAGAACAGGAGUCAGGCAUGGCUCUUUCUCAGGUAAGGUCAUAUUCUC